rnacentral:lncRNA from 1 species
AAUGAGGCGAGGCUUCUUGGGGGCAGAGGUGGAGGCGGAGGAGCCGGCGCCGAGGUUGGCGGUGGUGGUGAGCUGCUGGCGCUCGCGGCGGCGGACGGCGGGGAGAGGGCGGCGCCGGGCUUGAGGAAAAUGAGGCCAAGUUGGGAGAGAAAGAGAUGAUAACUUAAGGAAAUAGUUUAAUAAGGUAGGGGCAAAAUAGGUAUUUUAAUUAGGUUUUAACUUUGGUAUACAUUUAACCCAUGUUUAACCCGAGUUAGUUUAACAGUGGAUAACUGCGGGGGUAUUUUGGAAUAACGGUGGAACAUAUGAGAGGUAUUUUUAGAAAGAAAAAAAAGGGGUAAAUCGGAUAUUUUCAAACGUAUGAGGGGUAUAUAGGCAAUUAUU